UUGAUAGAAACUACAAUUUCCAUCCGCCCGGGAACUACGAGCAUAAGCCUAAAACCCAAAGGACUUGGCGGUGCUUUAGUUGAUAGAAACUACAAUUUCCAUCCGCCCGGGAACUACGAGCAUAAGCCUAAAACCCAAAGGACUUGGCGGUGCUUUAGCCGUCGUCAGCUUACCCUGUGAAGGUCUAAUAGUAAGCAAAACUGGUAAACCCCAAAACGCCAGGUCGAGGUGUAGCAAACGAAAAGGAAAGAAAUGGGCUACAUUUCCUCCCCCAGGAAACACGAAUUGUGCUAUGAAACAACACAUGAAGGUGGAUUUAGCAGUAAGCAGAAAACAGAGAGUUCCGCUGAAACCGGCCCUGAAGCGCGCACACACCGCCCGUCACUCUCCCCAAGUUCUUAAGCAUUUAUAACUAAUACCCCACCAGAACAAAGGGGAGGCAAGUCGUAACAUGGUAAGUGUACCGGAAGGUGCGCUUGGAUAAACC
rnacentral:rRNA from 1 species